rnacentral:rRNA from 1 species
CAGCAGCCGCGGGAAUACGUAGGUGGCAAGCGUUGUCCGGAAUUAUUGGGCGUAAAGGGCUCGCAGGCGGUUUCUUAAGUCUGAUGUGAAAGCCCCCGGCUCAACCGGGGAGGGUCAUUGGAAACUGGGAAACUUGAGUGCAGAAGAGGAGAGUGGAAUUCCACGUGUAGCGGUGAAAUGCGUAGAGAUGUGGAGGAACACCAGUGGCGAAGGCGACUCUCUGGUCUGUAACUGACGCUGAGGAGCGAAAGCGUGGGGAGCGAACAGGAUUAGAUACCCCCGUAGUCCCUGUCUCUUAUAA